rnacentral:rRNA from 1 species
AAAGCGUCUGUAGGCGUUUUCCCACGUCUGGCGUGAAAUCUCGGAGCUCAACUCCGAGCCCGUGCCGGAAACGAGGAAAAUUGAGUUACUCAGAGGCAUCUGGAAUGUCGUGUGUAGGGGUAAAAUCCGUAGAUACACGAUGGAACGCCAAAAGCGAAGGCAGGAUGCUAGGGGUACACUGACGCUGAGAGACGAAAGCGUGGGGAGCAAAGGGGAUUAGAUACCCCCGUAGUCCACGCCCUAAACGAUGUGUGCUCGGUGUAGGGACGUUCAAUCUGUCCCUGUGCCUUAAGCUUACGCGGUAAGCACACCGCCUGGGAAGUACGGCCGCAAGGCUAAAACUCAAAGGAAUAGACGGGGACCCACACAAGCGGUGGAGCAUGGGGUUUAAUUCGAUGGUAAGCGGAGCACCUCACCCAGACUUGACAUCCCGAGAAUCCUGCAGAAAUGUGGGAGUGCCGUAAGGAACUUGGUGACAGGCGCUGCACGGUCGUCGUCAGCUCGUGCCUUGAGGUGUACUGUUAAGUCAGCGAACGAGCGCAACCCCUACGGUGAGUUACAAGUGUCUCACAGAACUGCCCGCGUUUAAGCGGGAGGAAGGUGGGGAUGACGUCAAAUCAGCGUGGCUCUUACGCCUUGGGCGACACACGUGCUACAAUGGACAGUUACAAAGGGACGCCAAGGAGCAAUCCGGAGCAAAUCCUAUCAAAACUGUCCCCAGUUCGGAUUGAGGGCUGCAACUCGCCCUCAUGAAGCCGGAAUCGCUAGUAACCGUAGAUCAGCCUCGCUACGGUGAAUACGUUCUCA